rnacentral:lncRNA from 1 species
CGUGCUCCUGGCUAGACCUUGUGCCCCACAGCCAGCUCAAACAGAAAUGCCAUGUUUAUUGUCAACAAUCAGCUUUACAAAAGAAAUUGUCCCGAUACGCCACGUUUACAUGCACGCACACGCACAGGCGUGCAUCAGGGGCCCGUUUCACGAAUGUACAAAAGACAGCGCGAGCGAGCGAGCGGCGCAUGGCCACACUGCUGCAGUACUGCUUCUUGCUCCUCUUAGCACCGGGCUGCUCCUGCCUGGCCACGGGGAGCAGCCUCACUCCUUCGAGGGUGGGAAGGAGAAAACAAAUAAMCCCCCCCCCAACCCCCAAACAACCAGCCAUGCUAGAGCUGAGCCAAGAGGGGCCACGGGUACCACGAAGGUCUGCGAGAAACAGCAGCAUCCUGGCAACAGGACUACUAGCUAUUUUUCACAGCAUCGCCUCCCUCUGCCUCCAAAGCCUGACUCCCCUCAGGGCAGAAGUGCCGCGUACAGGCUACGGAGGCACAGGAAUAAGCUCGGGGGAGGAUCUGCCCUCGUGAAUCCUCCCUUCGCCUCCCUGGCAGGAGGAGGGCGCCCUGGCCCCACGGUGCCCAUUCCUCCUCUGGCCGGGCGGCAAAGGCUCCCUUUCACCCUCUGCAUUAAGUGGAAAGGCAACGAGAUGAUUUUUUUUUUUUUCUUUUUUCAAAAUCUCCUUAACACCUUUCUAGCAGACAAGAUGAGUCAUGCUAAAAGCUUUCAAGCUUUCUCUGAGACACCCUGCCUUGAGACAAAAGGACGAUCACCUAAUCUCAAGGUCCUUCGCAGCCCUGCUCUGGGGCUGUUAUACCAAGAAAACCCAAACAAACCAAAAAAAAAAAAAACCAUGAAAAACUCACAAGGCUCCUCUUCAGCUGUAAAAGCGCUGGGUUUAGCUCUCUGCAUCACCAGACGCUGACUCCACUGCUCCGUCUGCUCCUCUCCCUCCACGUGGGAGAAGGUGGCAAUGGCUCUUGGCAGGGUUUGAUCUGUUUUUCCUCUCUGUUUUGGCUGUAAAGGCAGCUACUGAAAUGGCCUCGGCGGGCUGGGACGUGCGCAGUGCUCCUGGCCACCUCAGCCAGCAGGCUGCAGGUGAGGAGGGCCGCAGUGCCUGAUACUCUCAUUUUUUCAUGCCAGUGCCACGACAGCUGACAAACAUCCACACGCAGGUUUGUGUUUAUGACACUCGGACGAACCAGCAGCGUUCACUGACUCCCUGGCCAUGGACGUUUUCAAUUAGAUAUAUACAGCCCUAGUGAACACGAGCUUCUUAACAGGAUUGCCAUCAGCUUUGCCACCCAUGGCAGGAGCAGUCCCACUUGCUUUCCCCAGGGAAGGAAGCUAUACGCAUUUGAAAAAUGGGGCAGUAGAAGGAGAGCUGAAGGGGAAGGUAGGGAAUAUGCUGAUGGCUUCUGUUGAACAGUUCACGGCUAAGCCUUUAGGCUUAUUUGAAGUACAGGCUCACAAAACUGAAUAUCAGGGCAUUAAAAAUAAAUAAAUAAAUAAAUGGCA